rnacentral:lncRNA from 1 species
AUCUGAAGCUCCAUACCGUGACCUGGGCUGGGCCAUAUGUGCCUUUCUCAGGCAGUAGGUGUGAAGCAUCUACUACUGACCUCUAUCCUGGCACUCAUCACCGGAACUCCAUCAUCUUAUUUGCCUCUUCUCCUGGGCUCUAAACUCUUUGAAGACCAAGAUGGGAGAGAAAGAGUUAAUUAAUCAUAGCCCUUUCUGUAAAGGACUUACUACGUCCAGG